rnacentral:rRNA from 1 species
GACGAACGCUGGCGGCGUGCUUAACACAUGCAAGUCGAACGGAAAGGCCCUGCUUUUGUGGGGUGCUCGAGUGGCGAACGGGUGAGUAACACGUGAGUAACCUGCCCUUGACUUUGGGAUAACUUCAGGAAACUGGGGCUAAUACCGGAUAGGAGCUCCUGCUGCAUGGUGGGGGUUGGAAAGUUUCGGCGGUUGGGGAUGGACUCGCGGCUUAUCAGCUUGUUGGUGGGGUAGUGGCUUACCAAGGCUUUGACGGGUAGCCGGCCUGAGAGGGUGACCGGCCAAAAGGGGAUUGAGAUCCGGCCCAGACACGCACGGGGGGAAGCAGGGGGGAAAAUUGCACAAGGGGGGGAAGCCGGGUAAACAAACGCCGCGGGCGGGAUGAGGGCCUUCGGUUUGAAACCCGCUUUCGCAUGUGACGAAGGGGGAGGGGCGGGAGUGGGAAAAGGAGCCCCGGAAGAUUACCA